GGUGGUGACUCAGGGAACCGCGAAGAUAAAAUCAAUGAAUUAAUUGAGAAGUUGAAUUAGUGCAGAACCUAUGCCCAGUCGUAAUUCAUGUGCAAGGGAUGGAUCCGUUAUACCUUGUCAGUUUUGUAAUAGCCUAGCCGAUUGUACCUUUAUUUCUGAAAGCUUAAUAGAGUGUUCAUGCUCAGAUUAUGAAAUAGCAGAAUCUGUUUUCCUACCCGCCUUCUCGUUCUUAGUUUUGAUGAAGUGAUUCUACUGAAUCUAGCUUUUGAGAACCUCUCUGACCAAGUAACUUGAGUUGGAAGGUACUACGGCAUAUUGUGAUGAAAAUGUUUCCGCCUUACUGAAACUUGUUGCUGAUUAUAUCUGACCCAAGUGGUUUGAGAUGUAAAGGUUCUCGUUAUUGGGUAUUCCCAUGGAAAUGGUUGGUUUCGUGCUCUGUUUUUUUUUGGGAGAAUUCGUCAUGUUUGUUUGGGAUUUGUUCGUUGGAAGUAUGUUUAGCAAAUAUUUCAUCCAGACUUUGUCAAAAUUUGGCCUUUGCUAUUCUGAAUUCUGAUGCAUUCGUCUCAACAGGAUCAUAUUCGAAGCCCAGGAUUUGCCGACUGCCGUGCCAGUUUGUUUCAGCAAAGUAUGUUUUUGCUGAUAAGAAAAGACGGCGAGGGCCGAGGAGAUUUCAACGAAACUGCCAACCAAACUGGUGGAUUCCACGACAUGAAUGCACUACGCAAAAGUUAGUCUUUUUUUUUUUUGAGAAGGACGCAAAAGUAAGUCAAGUUGUAAAUUUUCUCCAUAUUAUACUCAUACGGGCCAAACAUGCCCACUUGAAUUACGGACCAGAGUGCCCAGAGCGCUUCAUGCUUUGCCUUUCAUCUUCAUUCAUUCCACCGUGCUUUGCAGCUGAGAACGCAACAUGGCGGAAUCGCUUCCCGGUGGUGCGCGGGGUGGCUGGCAAGGCGGCGAACGCGCUCGUCCAGAGCGUCACGCGCGUGUGCGGCGUCGACGGCGACCGCCGCAAGCUGGAGCGCCAGCUUCUGGCCGUCCAGUGCAAGCUGGCCGAUGCCAAGGCGAAGAGCGAGACUAAGGGUGUAAGUGGGUCAGCCGCGAACCUACUUAUAGGUCAAAAUAAGCGGGCUCGCGGCUUAUUUUAGCCUAUAAGUGGGUUUCACGGGUUAGCCACUUACAACCCUAAGCGAGACCAACCCCGCCGUCAAGCGCUGGAUGAAGGACCUCAAGGCUGUCGCCUACGAGGCCGACGACGUCCUCGACGACUUCGAGUACGAGGCUCUGCGCCGCGAGGUCAAGAUCGGCGACUCCACCACCCGCAAGGUACUCGGCUACUUCACGCCGCAUAGCCCACUCCUGUUCCGUGUUACCAUGAGUAGGAAGCUGGGCGAUGUCCUCAAGAAGAUCAACGAUCUGGUUGAAGAGAUGAACAAGUUUGGCCUGAUGGAGCACACAGAGGCGCCACAGCUUCCUUAUCGGCUAACACACUCGGGGCUGGACGAGUCAGCAGACAUAUUUGGGCGAGAGCAUGACAAGGAGGUGUUGGUUAAACUGAUGCUGGAUCAGCAUGAUCAACAGAAUUUGCAGGUUCUCCCCAUCGUGGGGAUGGGCGGUUUGGGCAAGACAACGCUUGCGAAGAUGGUGUACAACGAUCCGAUUGUCCAGAAACAUUUCCAACUGAAGAUGUGGCACUGUGUUUCGGAGAACUUUGAACCUAUUUCUAUUGUGAAAUCCAUCAUUGAGUUGGCUACAAAUAGAAAAUGUGACCUACCUGACUCAAUUGAGUUGUUGCGAAGGCGACUUGAAGGAGUCAUUGACAGGAAAAGGUUUCUACUUGUUCUUGAUGAUGUAUGGAAUGAGGACGACAACAAGUGGAAUGAACACCUAAGGCCACUUCUGAAUUCUGUCGGGGGUCCAGGGAGCAUUAUAGUCAUCACAACUCGCAAUCGGCGGGUGGCAUCUAUAAUGGAAACCCUUCAACCCUAUAAGCCAGCAUGUCUAAGUGAAGAUGAAUCAUGGGAAUUGUUCUCGAAGAGAGCGUUUGGUAGAGACGUACAAGAGCAAGAAGAUUUGGUCACCAUUGGCAAAUGUAUUGUACAUAAAUGCAAGGGGCUGCCACUUGCUCUGAAGACGAUGGGCGGUCUAAUGAGUUCCAAACACCAAGUCAAGGAAUGGGAAGCCAUCGCAAGAAGUAAUAUUGGUGAUAGUGUCAAAGGAAAAGACGAAAUCUUAUCAAUACUAAAAUUGAGCUACAAACACUUGCCAUCUGAAAUGAAACAAUGCUUCACCUUCUGUGCAAUUUUCUGCAAGGACUAUGAGAUGGAGAAGGACAUGUUGAUCCAACUAUGGAUAGCAAAUGGUUUUAUUCAAGAAGAGGGCACAAUUGAGUUGUCACAAAAAGGCGAGUUUGUUUUCAAUGAGUUGGUUUGGAGAUCAUUUCUUCAAGAUGUUAAAACAAUAUUAUUCAGAAGCUUAGAUUAUGACUUUGUUGUAUGUAAAAUGCAUGAUUUAAUGCAUGACUUAGCAAAAGACGUUUCAAGUGAAUGUGCAACUACAGAAGAACUGAUUCAACAGAAAGCACCAUCUGAAGAUGUUUGGCAUGUGCAAAUAUCAGAAGGUGAAUUAAAACAAAUCAGUGGAUCAUUCAAAGGUACAACAUCUCUCCGCACUUUGUUGAUGGAAUUACCAUUAUACAGGGGUCUUGAAGUGUUGGAACUGAGGUCAUUUUUCUUAGAAAGGUUAAAACUGAGGUCGUUGAGAGGACUGUGGUGUCACUGUAGGUACGAUUCUUCUAUUAUCACUAGCCAUCUCAUAAAUACAAAACAAUUAUGAUAUCUUGACCUUUCUAGGUCUAAUAUACAUAGACUGCCAGAUUCAAUAUGUGCAUUGUAUAACUUACAAUCACUGAGGCUCAAUGGCUGCAGCUAUCUAGAAUGUUUACCUGAAGGCAUGGCAAAUCUAAGGAAACUCAACCACCUUUAUCUGUUGGGAUGCGAUAGAUUAAAACGGAUGCCCCCAAAUUUUAGUCUACUGAACAAUCUAUUGACACUAACAACGUUUGUCGUGGACACCGAUGCUGGCAGGGGAAUUGAGGAGCUCAAACAGUUGAGAUACCUUACCAAUAUGUUGGGGCUGUACAAUUUGAGAAAAAUAAAGAGUACAUCGAACGCGAAAGAAGCCAAUCUCCAUCAGAAACAAGAGCUGAGUAUAUUACGAUUAUUUUGGGGCUGCAUGUCAUCCUACAUGCCUGGAGACAAAGACAAUAAUGAGGAAGAAAUGUUGGAAUCUCUUAAACCUCACAGCAAGCUUAAAAUUUUGGAUUUAUAUGGUUAUGGUGGAAGUAAAGCCUCAGUGUGGAUGAGAGACCCUCAAAUGUUCCGGUGCUUAAAAAGGCUCAUUAUUGAACGAUGUCCAAGAUGUAAGGACAUUCCAACAGUGUGGCUAUCAGCCUCUCUUGAGUAUUUGUCCUUGUCUUAUAUGACUAGUUUGAUCUCAUUAUGUAAGAACAUUGAUGGGAACACCCCAGUGCAGUUAUUUCCAAAGUUGAAGGAGUUGAUAUUAUUUGUUUUACCGAACUUGGAGAGGUGGGCAGAAAACAGUGAGGGGGAGAAUAAUGAUGUGAUCAUUUUCCCGGAGCUUGAAAGCCUAGAAUUGAAGAGUUGCAUGAAAAUUUCAAGUGUUCCGGAAAGCCCGGCUCUCAAAAGGCUGGAGGCUCUGGGGUGUCACAGCCUCUCAAUUUUCUCACUUUCACAUCUCACAUCAUUGUCUGACCUUUAUUACAAAGCAGGUGAUAUUGACUCUAUGAGGAUGCCUUUGGACCCUUGUUGGGCUUCUCCCGUGAGCUUAGAUGUUAGCUCACCAGCGAACAUGAUGGUGCCUCUGGAAGACAAGAAAAGCCGUAGACCCUUCGAAGCCCUACGGAGCUUGACUCUGCGUGGUUCUAACUGCUUCUUAGCAACGUGCAGUUUGUUUUUUGCCGGGACGGCCAAAGGUAGGCCGGCCAAUUUCAUUAAGAUUGGGGGAAAUAAAGUUUUAAUUACAACGACAUGAAGGAUGUCGCGCCGGUCUCAGGCAAACUCAAGCCCGGAAAGAAAAAGAAAAAAUGGGGCAAGUCCCGCCUCUAAUCGGGAUUACUCGCUAGCAUGGGAAAAAAUCCCUGCUGCCCUCCAAAUUGCGAUUUCCUCGUUGAUGUCAUCCGCUAGCCGGUCAACCGACUUGGCGAUGUGUUGAAAGAUCCUUGUAUUUCGCUCUUUCCAGAUAAGCCAACAAAUUAGCAUGAACAGACUAUCGAAAUCCGUCCUAUACGUGUUCUGAAAACGCCGUCUUGUCGCGAUCCACCAAUCUGCAAGCGGCAUGCCAUCUUCCGCAGGGAUUGCAAUGUUAAUGUUGUACCAACGUCUCAGCUUGCGCCAAACCGCCGCCGUAUAAUCACAGGACACAAGCAAAUGAUGGCAGUCUUCGUUCUCGCAACGUGCAGUUUGUCAAAAGUGCAUCUUGGGCUCUGGGAGUGCUUUGCUUUUGUGAAGGAUUUGACUGUCCAUGGUUGUGAUGAUCUUGUGCAGUGGCCAAUGGAGGAGCUCCGUUGCUUGAUUUGCCUUCGACAUCUGUCUUUUCGUGCAUGUGGCAAGUUGGAGGGGAAGUGCAGAUCAUCGGAUGAAGCCCUUCCGCUGCCCCAACUAGAGAGGUUUGAAGUAUCGCAUUGUGACAAUUUACUGGACAUACCCAAGAUGCCGACGUCACUUGUGAAUUUGGAAGUUUCACAUUGCCGAAGUUUAGUGGCACUGCCUUCGCACCUGGGAAAUCUGCCCAGACUCAGAUCGCUUACUACGUAUUGCAUGGAUAUGCUGGAGAUGCUGCCCGAUGGGAUGAAUGGCUUCACAGCUCUUGAGGAAUUGGAGAUUUUUAACUGUUUACCGAUAGAGAAGUUCCCUGAGGGUCUCGUUCGACGUCUCCCGGCCCUGAAAUCCCUGAUGAUACGUGACUGUCCAUUUUUGGUAAGACGCUUCCAAGAGGGUGGAGAGUAUUUCGGCUUGGCACCGCAUGUUAAACUGAGUCAACGACAGAAAGUACGCGGCAUGAUUCACUGAUUCGUCAUUUGCCAAAUAUUUCAUCCAGAAGUGACUUAAAUUUGUCAAACAUUAGGCCAUUGCUGCUGUUCUCAACUUUCUGAUGCAUUCGCUGGUCUAGUUUGGAGUUUUUUGUCCCGUCCCUUCACUGCCUUGCCCCUCACAAGUCACCAACGAAUCUCACCUCUCGCGGACUCGCCCCGCUCUGUCCUUGCUUCCCUCCUCCGCCGCGGUGUUCAGGGCUUCAGGCGGCGGAGGAGGCGGCGGGGUGGAUGGCGCCGGUGUUCGAGAGGCUGACGGGGAUCCGAGCACUCGCCGACUCCGCCCGCUUCAAGGUAUGCCCUCUCUUUUCCCCCUCACCUAUCCAUCAAGUUAGCAACCGCCGACCUGCGCGGAAUUACUACUCGUUUUGCUCAUUCAGUUGCGCUUGUGCUUGUGAUUAUUCCCCUAACCAUUGAUUACUCGUGCGUUUCCUAGUUAUGGUAACUGCGAAUCACGCGGUCGAUUCAGGGGUGGAUAUGGAAUUAUUUGGGGGAAAUUUCGGCUAGAAAAUUUACGGGGAAAGUUGAUUUCCCACCCAGCGCGUAGUACUAGCAUUUACCACUAGCACUUCUUCUGCUCGUUUGAUUAAAGCUGCAUUUGUCUGGCUUGCAGGCGUGGUUCCUCGACCAGAUUGGUGUUCUUCACCAUGGGAAUAUGCCUUACCUGGUGCCAUCCUUGCAUGUAUGUAUCUUGGUACACACUGUAUAUAAUUAUAUUCUCUAACUUAUAUAUCCAUUUCUCUUAUUUUGUUCUACAUCUGACUCAAUGCACUGAUUAAGUUAUAUUUGGUUGUUGCACUAGUGUUCAGUUUACUUUUUUUUCCCCUUCUCUGAUGCGAUGCACUGGUUAAGUUAUAUUUUGGUUGUUGCAGUGGGAAAGGGGCGAAGAUGGUUAUCAUUAGCAAUUCGUUAAGGAGGUCGACUGUAACCAUGGAGAAGCUAGAGAGCCUUGGUUUCACAACUCGUCUUGUUUCCUCUCGGGGCCAUCACUAGCGGGGAACUCACACAUCAGUAUCUUCACAAGAACUAAGCUUCUAGCUGUCGGUAUCUUCUGCUAACAGAAGCUGCAGUGGGGUCUCCUUGAGGAAUGUGGGGUGCAAUAGAUAUUAUGAUCAGAAUUAAAGUUGGCUUACCAGCAGUGAUCUAUUUAAGAAGGUAUUUCUGUUGUUGCACCUUCUAAAAAUUUAUGUUAACCAUGGAAAUUUGGAACUUUCAAUAACACAUAGCUCUCAGUUUUUUUUUUUUUUUGCGUGGACUUAUUUUGGAGGUCUAGUUUACAAAAAAAAAAUUAAUAAAAAUAAAAAUCACUAGGUGUAACAAUGCCUGAAAUCUGAUUCUCUAAUCUCAAUUAAUAUUUUUGUUGGAUUCAAGAGCUCAAAUUUAAAAUGCUACCAGGACUUAAUUUAGGAUCAUCUUCAUUGUCACCUGUUCGGUGGAGCAAUUUUUGGUGUCCUGCCACAAGUAUAAAAAUCAUAGUGGGUUAUGCUUAAAUUUUUGCAUUGAUAACCGUCUCGAUCAUUUGUAACUUCCCAGACAUAAAGAUGCAGUUUCUGUCUCCAAAGGAAAACAAAAAAAAGGAUAUUUGGUUUCCCUUUUUUUGGUGGAGUAAAGAAGAUACUUCUAGCUGUUUCUCAUGGUUUGGUAAUGUACACUGUAACAUCACCAUCUGUACUUCACUGAAAACAGGCUCUAGGAGAACAUGGCAUCAUAUGUUUGGAAGAUGAGCAUGAAAUCGCAACAGUCGGUCCACACUUCAGACAAGCUUCAAACUUCCUCAUGCCCUUCAAGCUCAAGUGUCAAGAAGGAGGUUACAGAUGAAGAAGAAACCCUACAAGGAUGGUGGAUUGGUGGUGAUUUGGGAGACCGUGAAGAUAAAAUCAACGAAUUAAUUGAUAAGUUAAAUUAAUGCAGAACAUGCCCCAAAUCGCCAUUUGUGUGCAAGGGAUGAAUCCAUUACCUUGUUAGCUUUGUAAUAGCCUAGCCGAUUGUACCUUUAUUUCUGAAAGCGUACCUGAAUGUUUGGGAUCAGAUUAUGAAAUAGCAUAAUCUGUUUUCAAACCUGCCUUCUUGUUCUUAGCUUUCAAGUGUUGUGCCGAAACUAGCUGCUGAGAACUUCUAUUCUCUGACCAAGUGACUUGAGAUGUGAAGGUUACAGUAUCGGAGAGAUUAAAGGGGACCGCGAAAUGGAGCCACCACAGCGCUCCGGGGCUUUUUUGGCUGGCGUGUUCGCUUCCGGUGAUAUCCACGUCACCCUGCGCUGGAGCUGGCAAUUUUGCAAAAAAACCCUCGCUUUCUUUGAUAAUCAUUCCUAACUGCCUGGUCGUACUUCUCUGUAUUUUGUAUUCUUACGUAGUGGUCCUCUAUGUACUGGUAUUAUUAUAUGUGAAAGAGAAGAAAUUCCGAAUAUAGGGGGCGCGCUCUAAAACAAGAAAGUAAGAGGGUUUUCUUGCAAAAGAAAACAUCCCCAUCCUCCAUCCCCUCGCUUGUCCGAAACCCUAGCCGCCAUUGUACCCCACCCUUCUCUCGAUUGCUCUUUCCCUGCCUUUGCGGCGCCGCCGGUGCUGCAUCGUCUUCCCUCCCCCUCACCCGCUUCUCCUCACCGCAGAUGACAUCCCUCGCGCUCUCCCCCGCCUUCCUCCAUCUCCUGGGCUCCUGGCGCUCCCCCCACCUUUGCUCCCUUCUCUUCCUCUCUCUGUGAGGUCAAGCAGGGGAUUGGAUGGUGCUGCGCUAGCUCCGAGGAUGCUGUGAUGGAGAUUGAUGGCGUGGGGAUCGAUCUUCUGGCCCCGACGCUUGAUUUGGGAGAUUAUGAGAGGAGCCAGGGGCAUCGGGCCGACGGAGGGCGCCGGCGUAGCAAGGCGGAUGGCGGGAGGCGGCGGACGGCGGGAGGCGGUGGAGGGAGCUCGUGCUCGGUGAGGGCGGAAUCCGUCCCCCCGGCGGCGGCGGUAUCGGGGCGCCGCCGGGAGCAACGCGGCGGAGACCGGCGGGCGCCCAUCGUGGAGUCCCAGGAGGGGUAGCGAGGAAUCCGGGCAGCGGCGACCCGCACAAGUCGGCGGUGGAGGCGAGUCCCCCCGCAGCGGCACAGGAGACGGCGAGGCAGGUGCCGGCGUCAUCCGGCCGGGUGGAGAUGGUGACGACGGCGAGGCCGGAGCUCGGCGAGAUGGGAUUGACCGCAACGACGACGACAUCCAGAUCCGGGCGGCAGCGUGGAUGGCGGAGGAUGCAUCGACGGUGAACCGGCGGCCUGCAGGCGUAGGCGGCUGCGGCGGGCACGAGCUCCCCAGGCGGUGGCGGCCGCAGAGGAGGAGCCGGCAGGGACGGGUUCCCCCGUACCCUGUGCCGCGCCGACGACGCCGCGACGACCUUGACGACGCCGGCGGAGCUUGAUGGAGAUGGCACCGGCGGCAUCGGGGCGACCUCGCACCAGGUGAGGCCGACGACCAGCGGGCGGCGCGGCCUACCAACGACGUUGGGGUGCUGGUGGAGAUCGGGUCGGCCAUGCCCUCCAGAUCAGCGACGACGAUGUGGACAAUAUGAUGCUACUGCUUCUGCUUGAUUGCUUCACAAUGACGCGAACGAAGAACAGCCGCAUGUGUAGAUCGACUGCAGAAGUCCGAAUCACAAAUCAGAACAAGAAAAUUUCUCUGUGUUUUAUUUUUGGCUUGGGAUUGUGCACCGAAUACCAGAUAUUCAAGCAGAUAUUAGUCUGAAAAACAUUCUUUGUAAGCUUGUAUGAUUGAGGGAGAUUAUAACUGAUAAUUCAGUGGCUUGAUGUAAUCAAAGAGGUUUAGUGGGUGUUGUACGUUGUUAAUGUGUAUGUGUCCUCUAUGCUCCUUUCAGCUUAAAUAUGCAUUGUAUUUCUAUAGCUCUUCAUCGGAUAUAAUUUAUUCUCUACAAAGGUAUUGUUAUGCAUGUAGAUAAGUGGAACCUUUUUUUAGAGAGUAAUAAGUGCAUCCUAUUAUAAAUAUCAAAUCUGAUGACUCCUUUUGUCUUAUUCAUGUAAAAAGGGUUAGUUGCUACCAUAUAUGGUGCUCAGGUAUGUCAAAACUAUAGGGGGCAUGUUUCUUCCUAAUAUGUGUAGUAGAUUUGGCUAUCUAGCAACCUUGUGGCUAUGCUUUCUCAUCUUAUACUAUGCUAAGCAGUUGCAUUGCAGUUUAAGAUGUAUCAUUUUAUACCCAAUCUUUAGAAAUUUAUGAACAUGAUGUCAGAUUUUGUGGCCACAUACUCUUUAGGACACCCACAUCUACGGUAGUUUAACUGAUUACUUCUCACAUUAUAUUUCAAUAGAUGUAUUAUCCUUUUCUUUUGAGUGAAAGAAGAGUUUUGGAUGCUACAUUUAGUUCUUUGAGGAGUAUUUUGGAUGAUCAACUGACCGUUCUAUUGCCAAAUCUAGAAAUCAUUUAGUUUCUUGGGAAUUAUUCUUAGCGAAGGUUGUUCUAUAAAUUCCUUUAUCUUCAUUCACAUAAGCGGAUGCUUCUAUCUUGGUAUUCAUGCUUUCAGCUACACGAGAUGCAACAUAUAAAUUUAGUUUUGCAUAUGAUGGAACUAAAUUAGUUUUUUUUAAAGAAACUGAAUCUCACUAAAAUCAUCUUUGAUUAUAUACAUUGAUAUGUCUUUCUCUGUUAAGCAUGAUAAGUUUUCAUAAUUUCUGAACUAACUCUUCAGUGAUUUCUAUCUUGAAGAAUUCAACCACUAUUCCUAAAAGUGACACAAAUGUCAGAAUUCAGGUGUUGUGACAAUCUGUGUUGGAAUGAAGACCUCCAGAACUUAAUAUUGAAUGAUGUAAAUGCUGUGACACUUUGAGCUGACCACUUACAAUUGAAAUUAAUCAAAAAAAUUAUCGAUUGAUCUGAAUGACUAUCUUUGGACUUGAUCUGAUUCUAGAGGAUACUAUGAGCCUUAUCAUGAAUGUCUGAUUUUUCUUCAGGUUUGAAUAGCAUUGUUAUGUACAGUCAUAGAUAUGAUCGUGGGCAUAUAAAGUUUGAUAUGGUACUCUUCAAUUUAUAUUAGUACAAUAUAUACUUCUGGUUUAUAUUGCUCUCAAUAAACGAUAGGACGCUGUGAAGCAAGAUGCCAUUGAUUUCAUAACUAAAUGUUGAGUGUCUAUUUGUUGCUACCUCCACAAGGCAAUUGGGAUGACAUUUCAUAUUUUUGAACAGGUGAUCUUCUUCUGUUGCCUUUGCCUUUAUUUUCUUUGCUUUUUCCAGAUUUCCAAGUUCUUCUGUUGCUUCUUGCCUUUUUCGAUGCAGCAUAAUAGGAACUUACGUGCAUUUGUUCACAUGAACAUCAUAUGAUGGUUCAUAGAACCUUAGUCCUAAAUCCAUUAUCCUUAGUUAUCCUCAUGCACAUACUCCAUGUUAUUGCAACUGUCAAUGACUGUUCUAAUGUUCACUGUUGACGUGAUAGUUAGCCUUUCUAAAAAUUUACCAUGGGUGCACAGUAGAAUAAACUAAUUAAGCUAAACUAUUCAUGGGAGGAUUAGAGGCUGUAGCACCUGUACAGAUCAUUUGUUAAUAUGACAAAAAAAGAAAUCCUCUUUUACUGCACGCACUUUAUCAUAUGGCCUCAUUUAGAUGUCUAAUUGAUAUUCUGAAAUUGGUCUUACUUUGGAUAUUCUUCCUCAUUAACUAAGUAUUUUCUCGAUGGGAAGGUCAUAUACUAGCAUUACAAGGCCACCUGAAUCAUGGAACAAGAAGGCCAUAACAAAGUUGCUUGACAUUAGUUGCAAGAUUGAAAGAACUAUUGCAGAGCACCAUAUCAAUGUUUCAGAGUAGGAGUUUAAUUAAGUAUGCAAGAAAUGGUUUAUGUGCUUUCAUGCAAUUAUAUUUAAGGGACUUACAAUUUCAUAGUUGCUGUUGAUUUAAAUCCAAAAAACUUCUUGCCUAGGAAACACAACUUACUCUUUUUUGCUGAGCCAUUUAUUUUGCAUCAUCCUAGCUCUGUUAAAAUUACCGUCCUCAUCGGCUAAUGAAAACGUUGAUUAAUGUACAUCACAGUUGUGUUUCUAUGUACAAGAAGGUGAAAGAUUGUUAAAAUCAAUGUUUUUCUCUUCAGUUUGCCUUCUACUCUAGGUGAUACUUUGAAGUGUUGGUCACUAGAUAAGUGGAAUCUUUUUUCAAAAAAGAGAAAAAGAAUGCAAUCUAAUUAUAAAUAUGAAUAUCAAAUAUGAUAAUUGAUUUUGUCUUAUCUGUAUAAAAAGGAUUGGUUGCUGCCAUAGAAGGUGCUCAAGUUUGCCAAUAUUGUAGGUGUUGGUUAGCUUGAAGCUCCGUCGGCCGUGCGGCACCACCACUGUUUAGCGAUUCCAUAUCUGGUGAUAUUGGAACCAUGUGUUGUUGCCUUGCCCAGGGUCCAUUUGCAGUUUGUUUCCCAUGGUCACUUUUGGUGAGUUAAGCCACAACCAGUUCCUUUCUACACUCACUUAUGUAUGCUUGGCGUGUAUCUUCCCUUUCCUGCCUCCAGUUCCCUCGUUAGCUUUGCUUUUUCAUAUACCAUUAUUCCCUUGCAAAUGAUAGUCUACCUUUUUUUUUAUCAAGAAUGCUACAGUAUUUCUGAUUUGUACUGCAUAUCUUUUUAUUUGGUUGUGUUUGUAUAUAGUUCCAACAACCAAAAGCUUAGAUGUUCACUUCAUGAAACCACUGUGGGUCGCUCUGCUCCAUUACAUAUUUUAAGGAGGUGGUCAGGACAGGGUUUGGAUGAUUCUGCUUCAUUGUGUUUUUUAAGGUGUCAUCUAGCUGUUUGAUAUAAUCUCAGAGAAUCAAAUGCAAAAUCUGAAGAUUCAUGACCUCUUUAGAUUUCAGGUCAAUCUAAUCUGAAUUAAGACUCAAAUUACAGAACAUAGAAAAUAUUUUCUUUUUUGUUGGAUUAUGUUUAGUAACUGCAGAAGUCAGAAUCACAAAUCAGAACAUGGACAAUUCUCUCUGAUUUUUUUUUCUUAGGCCUAUGUACCAAAUACCAGAUAUUCAAGCAGAGAUUAGUCCGAAAGACGUUCUUUGUAAGCUGGUAUGAUUGAGGGAGCAUCUAGCAGUGGAUUUUAGCUGAUAAUUCUGGAAAAAGGGAUUUACCAUUAUACCUAACUCUGCCAUUUCCACAGUGUGCUGCCUGUAAUAAUCUCCAUGUCACAUUAAACGUGCGCGCGUGCACACCAGUAAAGUGUCUACUCAGCUUCCAGGAUUGCUAGCAACUUAAUUUUGCAAGCAACGAAAACCAGAAACCUGGUGCAUACAAAUUCUGAGAGUCCCCAUGUGCGAUUGAAGAAUAUUUAUUUUCUUAAGUGAUUGCAAACACAGUCCUUCACAUUACAACUUGUGAUUCAUGCCCCGUAAUGGAACUGAAUUAACCUCUUUUAAAAGAGGAUGAAUGAUUAAACCGUUUUUUAUACAUUAUUAUACCUUUUCUUGCUCUUUUGGGUAUGAUAAAUAAUUGUGGUUUCUGAAAUUAUCAGGUAUUUUUUAUCUUAUAGUAUUCAGGGUCUAUUUCAAAUCAUCAUGUAACAUCGGAAUUCAAGUUAUGUCACAGCCUGUGCUAGAAUGAAGUCCUUUCGUACUCAACAUUUACCAAUAUAAGUACAUAUAUAUUCUGACUCGUGGUACUUUUUACCAAUAACAAAUGGUAGGGCGCCGCGAAGCGCGCCUAAAGUUCUAGUAUUGUGAAUUUGCGACGAAAAUGUUUCACCUUACUGAAACUUGUGGAUGAUUAUGUGUCUGACCAAGCGGUUCGAGAUGUGAAGGUUUUGGAUACAUUCUAAUGAAAAUGGUUCAUUGCGUACUCUAUUUUUCCCAGAGAAACAUGUGGCUCAAUGUAAAAUUUGCUUAAAUUUUAAACCUCUGAAUUAACAGUAUGUAAUACAGUACUACGUGUCUCCCACAGGUCACCAAAG
rnacentral:lncRNA from 1 species